AACCCCCAGCUAGGCUGGGGGUUCCGGAAAGGUUUCAGCUUUAAGCCAGUUAUUAAAACCCCUUUUGAUUUGUUAAAAC
rnacentral:sRNA from 1 species